GUUGACCUGGGCGAAGUCGUGUGUUGGUCUGCAAAACCUCACGGAACCAGUUGCGAUCUUCGCGUAAUAGUACAUUACUUGGCAUUAACUUUCAAAAUCAGUGAAAUACAGUUUUGAACAUUGACUAUAACUUCGUCAAGACCAAAGGGCGUGGUUAACAACCACCUGCCUAAAUGUUGAUCACAAUUUUGUGUUAGUAGGCCUACCAUCUGGUUUAUUGUUCAUACUGUUGAACAUUAUUAAAACAUUUUCAUCAAUUUUAUAACAUUACCAUUAUGGAUCCUCAAAUAAUUGCAAUUGGAGCAGCAGGAUGUGUUCUCUCUGCUAUUUUAAUUUAUCUUAUAUCUGUGUUUGCCAUGAAAGAAAAAACGUUUGAAGAAGUAUUGGAAGAACAGAGAAGAAGAAAUGAAGAAGAAAAAUUAAAAUUGAAGAAUGAAAAGAGAGCUGAGAAAGAACAUAAAAAAAAAUUUAAAAAAGGGAAGGAUAAGUCAAAAGAAAAAGAGAAAGGCAGUCAGGGUUCUGACACAGAAUACACGGUUGAACAAAAAAUGGUUAAUUUGGAAAUUGAACCCGAAAUUAUUGAGCCAACUGAAACACUUUCUUUGACAACUAAAAAAUCAAAGACCAAAAAAUCUCAAAAACCAAUUCUUCUGAAUAAAGAGGAGAAGCCCUUGAUUGCUACUGACAAGCAAAGCAAAGAAUUGCAGCACAAAACCAUUGCUCCCAAGGAUGAAGUUGAAUUGAAACAUGAACAUGCGCAAAGUACUACCAAGGAAAAGGUUACAACUGAGCAUACAAAAGUAACUGCAACUAAGGAUAAGCAUACCACUGAACAGCAGAACAAACCUUCCAAGAAGAGUUCUGAUGUUAAACCAGAAAAGGUGGAAGAAAAGGUUAUUAAGGAGAAAGCUGCUAAAAUAGAAAAACAGGCAGAACGCACUGUGGAGACUGCAAGGAAGUCGCAUGAUGAACCUGAUAAGAAACGCUCUAAGGCUAAAAGUGGAACAGUUUCAGAGGAAAGUCGUCCGUUGAAUGGCACUAGUCUGCUGGCCACUGUGGAGAGUGCGACUUUGAAUAGUCAAGAGAUUCAGGCACUCAUUGAUGUUCUGCUGAAUCGUCAAGGUUCUGAUGCUCGCAGCAAGGACUGGAACAAAAAAAGUCAAAAAGGAGACCCAAUGUUUUUGUUGAAGAAGCAGCUGGAAGAAAGAGAGCGGUCUCUUCAGCAAGAGCAAGCGCUGGCGAUGUCUGCCAACAGCAAGAUGAAGGAGCUUAACCAGCAGUUGUUGACUGAGAAGACGAAGUUAUCUACCCUGGAGAAGUGUUACCAGGAGAAGGUGGGGCAUCAGGCGCGUGAGAUUGAGGCCCUGCACGCACGCAUGCAGCAGAGUCACGAGCAGCAUCAGCGCGAGAUCAAGAGUCUACAGACCACCAUCCACCAGUACGAGCAGUCCAACGACCGCGGCAUGGUCCAGAAACUGCAAGAGGAAAAGAAGAUACUGACAGACACUAUUGCUAAAGCAGCAGUCCCAGCUACAGCUGAAGUGAACAGCUUGAAACAGAAAGUUCAAAUCAUGGAAAAGGAACUCGCUAGCAAUGUGGUCAAACUGAAUGCAUCAGAAAAAUCCAAGUCAGCUCUGGAAAUGCAGCUUGCUAAAUCUGGAGAAGAAUUGAAAAAAAUUAAAUCUGAACAGAAAGAUGCUUCUGCUUUACUGUCCAAGAAACUUGAUGAAGUGAAUAAAGAGCUGAGAAAGUCACAGGCCAACAAUGAAAGUCUUACGAGAGAGAAACGCAAAGCCAGCGAUGAAUCUCGUAAAACAAUUGAAGCUCUCGGCACAGCUCAGAAUGAAGUGAGAACCCUCAAGACGAAACUUGAAGAACUUCAGACUCAUCUGAAGGCAAAUGAUGUUUCUAAAGAACUCGAAGGAAAAUUACGGGAGACAGAAAGAAAGAAGUCUGAUUUAGAAGGAAAUGUGAAGAAUUUGGAAAAACAGUUGGUUGAUUCUACCAAGAGGUAUACAGAACUGGAAAAACAAUUACAGGAUUUGCGUCAGAAGAACUUCUCUCUGAGUGAGGAGUUGAAGGUCACGAAGGAGAAUCGGACUAAAGCGGAGACGACGACCACACCUGCUGGAACUGUCAAUGGAGAUGUGAACAAAGAUGUAGAAAACCUUGAAAAAAUUUUGUCUGAGAAGACUGGAGAAAUUGACAAAUUGAAGACAGAACUUCAGAACACAAAAGCUGAGCUGUCGUCUUUAGGGGAACAGUUGGAUGCUCAGAAGAACAAAAAUAAUGAAUUACGAGAAAAGAAUUGGAAAGCUAUGGAAGCUUUAGAACAGGCUGAAAAAGCUGUAACUGUUAAAGUUGAUAGUGCUGUUAAAUCUGUUCGGGAAAAGGUCUCAUCAGAAGUCUGUGACGUCGAAUCACUCGACAAGGGAAUUCUUCAGAGGCUAUUCCCAAGUGUUAAAGUAAAUGAGAAACUGAGUCAUAAAGAGUGGGUGAAGCAGUUUGAAAAGCAAGCAUCUGUGAUGACAGCCAAAGUUUCUGAACAAACAAGUCGAAUCCAACAGCUGGAGUCAGAAAAUACACACUACAAAACAGUUGUUAAAGAAACAGAAAACAAAUUACAUCAGCUGGAAAGCAGUAUAGAAUCAGAAGAAAAGAAGUGGAAAGAUAAACUUCAGCAAGCUAUGGGUGAUUCACAAAAGACUGUCAAACACCAAGAAAGAAUAGAAGAAUUGGAAAAAGUCAAUUCUACUUAUGAAAAACAAAUUAAGGAAUAUAAAACAAAAUUAGAAAAAAUAGAACAACAAUUGGUCCAGAUACAGUCAAGUGCCAAAUCUCAGGAAGAAUCUGUUGAUACAAAACAAGUGUUAGAAAAGUGCUAUCAGCUCGAAAUCCGAAUUGGAGAACUGGAAGAUGAAAACACAGAAUACCAAAAACAGAUUGAGAAUUACAGAAAUAUUUUAUCAUCAACUGAGAAACAGUUGACUCACCUUGAGACUAGUGCUAAACAGGAGGAGGAGAGGUGGGCAGCAAGGUUACAGGAGGAACAGUCUUCAUUAAAAAAGUCCAAGGAGGAGAUUGAAACCUUGCAACAGCAGCUAAAGAAGUUCAGAGGCAGUACUGAGGAUGUAUCUGAUUUGGGUUUUGCCUAUCGAUGUGUAGAAAAAAGCCUUCCUUUAAUUAUAGAAGAGAUGGAAUCGAAGGUUGAAGUUUUAGAGAAUCAGCUGAAGAUGGCUGAAGAAACGUGCUCAUCAUUACAGAAAGAAGCUCAAGAUAGUAAAGAGAAAAUAAUUGUUUUGAAUAAGCAGAUCGAAACAGCUAAUUCAUCGACUGCUGAUUUGGAAGAACUGAAGAGGCUUUUGGCGCUCGAGAAGAAAAAGACAAAGGAUUUGUCGACUAACCUUGUCAAACUGAACGGCAUAAUUAAGACGGGACAGGAUGCUUUAAAACAGGAGCAGGAUGCUGUGCAGGCACUCCAGAAACAGCUGGAGGACAAGAAUAAAGCAUCUGGUACAACUGCUGACAAUGAAGCUGAACAGUUGAAAGCUAAACUUGCUGAUAAAGAAAGACUCCUUGACCAUGAAAUUGCUGCUAAUAAACAACUUAGUCAGAGAUUGGCUCAACUAGGGGUUUCGUUUCAAGUAAUAUAGUAACGUAGGUGUUGGUUUCCUACAAGUGUCUGGCUUGGGACUUGAUCUAUUACAAAUACAUUUUGGUUUACAAGACUGCUUUAGUGGGAAAUGAUGUUGGAACAUCCGUCUAACCGUGGACUUGCUUCAUUGCCCAUGACAUUGAAUGCGACCUUCAACUGCUCCAAUGAUGAAUGUCUCGUAUCACCAACCAACAUUACAUCUCAUGCCAGACCAAUCUCAAAUACUUUAAAAAUAGAUCAUCAUUAAUGUGGACUUUUUAUCCAUUAUGGCAUAUACGUACAUGUAGUUUAAACACUUACAAUAAGAUGGCAAACUGGUACAUGCAUAUUUAUUACCGAGUGUGCACAGUGUCUUGUCUUCCUGUGGUAAACAUAAUAACUAAUGGAGAACAUACUCCAUGACUAGAUUUGUUAAUGACUUACCUAAAGGUAAAAUUAUCUUCUUUUUUUUUUUUUCUUUUUCUUUUUUUACAGUACCACUGGGUUGUUUUAUUUUUAUUUUAUUUGUUCUUUUGUUUUGUAUACUCUUUUUUUUUUUGUGUGCAUAACAUGUCUUUUAAAAGCUUUUAUCAGCUUAUAUAUGAAAAAAAAUCUCAGUAUUGUAUCCAGUAAGGUUGAAGUUUAUUCAUUAAUUGAUUUUAAUAUAUCAAUUGGAUAGGGUUUAAGCCUUAAUGUCUUUUCAGUUUUAAUUUGGCAUGACAGUUUGGCAAUAUUCUUUGACAGAUGGAUAGACAAUCUCUAUUUCUGAAAAAACAUUUGAAGUUUAGCAAGUCUAAGUUUUGCAUUGUGAAAGAAACCUAGUUGAGAUGCCAGAUUAAGAUUCACAAGUAAACGAUGCAUCUGAUUUCAUAUUAGUUCUUUUUCACUUCACUUUGUCUUCCCUAGAAGCAGAUUAUUUUAAUGAUCAAACUAACCAGCGUGCUAUUCUUGCACUGUAUAUAGCAUACUUCAAAUUAACAUUUAUAAUGUUAUUACAGUAGUAUUACCAGUUAGUGGUGUUAGUCUCAGUCUCUUUGUUUUCAGUAUGAAUUUUUUUUUUUUAAAUGAGACGUGCUAAACUACCAAAUAAGACAAAUCAUUAAAGUCUGGACAUAUCUUCAUAUAGACAUAUCUAGAUUUCAGUUUGGCAGUAUCAUUUGUUAUAAUGAAUAUGGUUCAGUUUUAAAAAGUCAUUAGCUCUUAAUUUAUUAUUUAAUACUUUCUAUUAGUGAAUUGGUAAAAAAAAAAACCUCACCAAAAAACUACAAAUUUUGUAUUCCUAUUUUAAAUGUUGGCCAAUAUUUUAAUUGGUACUUUAACCCAGAUAAAAACUUGGCUAAAUAUUUCUUUGUGGUUAUCCUUUUUAACCUUUUUCAUUUUGGUGAAUGAUAAAUCAAAAUACAAAUCUUAAAGCAUUUCACAUUAAUGUAAAAGUAGUUUUAAACUUGUAGAAUAAAUUGGUUUCUCAUCGAUGAAAUUUUAAAUAUUACUAAAUUGUUUGACAUUUGUUUAUCAUGUUUUGUUGAGCCUGUUUUCUUGCUUGCUUAAUCUGGGACCAUGUGACAAGAUGUUAAAGUGUUUGCUCAUACCGUUUUAAUAAUUUCUAGCUGUGAAAUGUUCAUUACAUUAUUUAUCUUCAAAGAAUUGUCAACAUAUAUUAUUAUAAAUUCAUAAUCUAAACUGUUGAUGUUUUUAAAGAAAGUAUGUUCAGAGAAAUAGUGCUUGUAAAUAACCUAUCACAGGAGUUGUUUCUUGUUUAAUAACUACCAGGAAGACAUACGUAUUUUUCUAUUUGCAUUAAGCAAACUUCAUUGAUUCUUCAAUGAAGAAAAGGGUGUGUUUUUCUUCUUUUUUUCAUUGUAUUUUAAAGAUUAGCUUUCAGAACAUGGUAAUUUGCUAAAAUCUAACUGCAUAUUUUAAACCUGGUUUGAUUCAUAGGCUUAUUAUUUAGUUCUUGAAAGCAUAACUUAAAACAAUAUUGAAAUGAAUGGCACAUGUCAUGUUUGUUGGGGGUUUUGUAAGCAAAAUGUUUUGGGUUUUCUAAAUAUGGUCUUGUAUGGGGUGAUGAUUCCCUUAAAAGCAUUGCAAAGUUAACAUUUUAAACAUUAAUUAUUUGUUUGUUUAAUGAGGACACUGCUGUGUAUAAUAAACUGUUAAGCAUAAUUGAGAUAAUUUGCUAAAUUUGUGGCAUGUUUUUAGCAGCAAUGGCAUUUAGUUUCCUAGCGGAAACACCUAACUACAGCAGCUAAUUCUGUGAUGUUUUUGUAUUUGUUCACAUUUGUGCGUGUGGUCUCGUCUUGCCAACUUUUAGAUAAAAUGCAUGUCAGUGAUUUUUGUUCAGUCUAUUGUGAAACUUUAUUUAACAAAAUCUUUGUUAUGAAAUCGUUUUAUAAAUUAUUUUACUCAGUGUUACUUUUGGUGGUGGUUAUAAUGACAUUGUAGCACAAUAUGAACAAUAAUUGUACUGCAGAACAGUAUACAAGUAUCAUACUACAUUUGUACUUUUUAUUAAUCUUGUUCUAAAGCGUUAUUGGAUAGGCUUAUUUGUGAAACAUGCACAUCAGCAUUCUCAUGUAUUGGACGACUAAUCAUCCAAAAUAACUUACCACUCGUGAUUCUCAAUCAAACUGUGUCCUUGUCAUUGCAUUAAACUAUACAUUCUAAAAUUGCUGGACAGACCAUUUGAAAAAUUCCUAUCCGAGGAUGAGAAGUAGUUCUGUUAUUGUGAACACGUAGAAUACAGUACAGUAGUACUGGUAUUCUAAACUGUUGGAAUAGUUAAUGAUUUUUUAUGGGUUUUUUUUUUAAAUCAGUGAUUUAUUUCUUGUUAUAUUUGUUCUGCUGAAGUUGUGUACAUUAUGUGAAUAAUCACAAAGUGUUUUUCUUUGUAUUUUUCAGUGAUAACUUUAGCAAAGAAAUUUAUAAAAAAUUGUUUUGCCUAUAAAUGAUUAAAAAUUUGUCUUUGAUGAAUUUUCUUGUAUCAACAAAUUUCUGAUUACUGUAGUGAAUUUGUCUUGUUUUGAAGAAAGUGCAAUAUAGUUGUUUUUAUUCUCCAGAAUAGAAAGAUUUCAUGAAGACUACAAAAAUUAAUUUAUGAAAACUGCUGAAGUAAUAGUCAGAGUAAUAAACAUGUAUUUAUGGUGACAUAUUGUAAAUCUUCUGUAUAAGACAAUUAUUAGUCUUUCAUUAUGGCACAUAAUGGGUUGCGUAUUCCACUUUAAAUAGUUAAUGUUUUGGUCAACAUUCUCCACCAAUGACACUUGGUUUUAAAAAAUGUUUCUGCUAUGCAAAGCAGUCAAAUUGGUUAAAAUAUUCAUAAAGUAGACUUUGAAUCCAAUUGUGAGAGGUAUUUUCAUUUUUUAAUAUCAACACAAUUUAUCUGUACUAUAACUUGUGAGAUGCCCUCUUGAAGCAAUGGCUAUUCUAAUGAGUGCUUCACUAUUCGACCAGAAAGUGGCACAAAGAUAAAACAUUGAUUCUUGUGUUGAUUACUUUGACUAGCAUAUUUAUGAACUAAGUAGGAAAGUUUGCCUUUAUUGCCAUGGUGAUUGGUGCUGAUGCAUAAUUGCAGUGAGAGAGUAGUUUAGAAAUUAUACAUUUUUGUUAUUAUGUACAUAAUUAGACAACUGAUAAAUAGGGUAAAGACUGAAACAAGUUUAAGAAUGCAUUAGAUUACCAGCAGUAGAAAUGGUUUGGGAUUUUGCAGUUUUAAAGCAUUACAUAGUUUUGUUCAGUUUUCAUCCUUUCCCAGUAAAGGUCACUUUUUGAUUGUGUAGCUUAUUUGAUCCAGGUGACAUCUUGCAAUGAAUUGCAUGGACGAGUAUAUUAAUAUAUUUAUAUAGAUAUGGGUUCAUUAUUUGUCUUUGUUGUUGAGUUCUGAAAAACCUCAGAUGACUUACACGUCAAAUAUAUUGACAGGUCAGCUGAAUGGAACUAAACUACUCAACUUUCACUAGGGAUUUGUUAAAAAAACAUUGUAAGUAAAGCAACUGCAUUUAUUAUUUGAUGGAUGACAAAUCUAACUUUCACAAUGCAUUACUACUGUGAUGUAUUGAACAUCCAAGGAGCAUAGUCUCAUUGAUCAGAUGUUGCGCAAAUUGUUUAUCAUGACAUAUUUUGUAUAUCCCGAGCAAAAGUUGAGUAGUAUAUAUUAGUACUGUUGUGUACUCUAGUAACGAUGGCAGCCUUUCUGGUUCAUACAUCAUGUUACAAAUUUACUUUUUACAUAUCUAAUUGUGUGGUACCUUGCGAUGUAGAACUGCACACAGGACUGGGCUUCAUGUAGAUAAUGAGAGUAUAUCAUUCUGAAUGGGACCAAGUCUUGAAAUGAGGACCAAAUUUUGGUUUCGUGAUAAGACUGUUGUCUCAGGUCACACAUUACUCAGUUUGGUUCUGAUUUGAAAAAAUAAAUUAAAAUGAACAUCUUAUUAUUAAUGGAGCUGCCUUUUUUUGUUCUUUUUUUUUCUUCCUUUUUUUUUGUUGUUGUUGGAUUAGAAAUUUUUAUGUUUUUGUCUACCGUAGUCUGUUUUGCUUAAUGUUUAUUUUAUUAGUGCAUACAUUUAUUUUGCUGCAUUACUUCACAAUGUGGUAGCCAAAACAACGGGGGAAAUAAAUACGAGUUGCACUUUUAAACUGAAUAUCUGGUGGGAUGGGGGGGGGGCAGGGGGGAGACAGAUUUAUUGUCCUCCCUAGACCAGUUUCAUAAAAAUAUUUAACAAUAAAUGCCAAAACAUAUGCCCCAAAAGCAUGCCCAUGAUUGAUUUUUUCUAUGUUGGUAAUGGUGAGUAAAUUGUAUACAAUUUUACAUUGAAUUAUUUACCAUUAUAUACAGUAAAAUAUGUUUUGUCCUGUCUGAAUAUAUUUUAAUAAAAUUAAACAUUUUAUAAUUAGUGAUAUUAUUGAAAAUGGAUAAUAGAUGAUACAAAUCAUAAUUGUUAACAGUUGUGUUCAGGGAAAUAAAUGUCUCUGGAUAGAAGUUUUAUAACUCGGCCAGUGUCAAAGGUGUGGGUACCGCUAGUAAUUUUUUUGGGAGGAUUGUAUAGGCAUUCACUUGGCUCCUUCAUUACAUGAUUGGACUGACUUUAGAAAGAUUUUCUGUACUAAAAAAAAAUAAUAAAAUAAACCCAGGUGAUAUGCUAGACAUUUCUAGUCAUUACGUUAGUAUCCAUUGUCUUUUUAACUGGCACUGUCAGAUUCAAACAAUGUAAAUAUGUUGGUUACCAUGUGUAAUUAUUAUGUAGAUAGAUAAUUUCCUAUUAUUGGUUUAUUUUAUCAGAUAUGAUGCACAUCCCAGUUGAUGUGCGACUGAUUGUAGUAAAGAUAAUAACAAUGAAUGGCGGCAUUCAACUUAGAAAGUUCAUGAAGAUGACGGUGAUCUGUCUGUAGAGCUUGGUCAAUAAAACUGAAGCUCAA
rnacentral:misc_RNA from 1 species